rnacentral:rRNA from 1 species
GCCGAGCACUCCUACGGGAGGCAGCAGUGGGGAAUAUUGCACAAUGGGCGCAAGCCUGAUGCAGCCAUGCCGCGUGUAUGAAGAAGGCCUUCGGGUUGUAAAGUACUUUCAGCAGUGAGGAAGGUGGGUAUGUUAAUAGCAUAUUCAUUUGACGUUAGCUGCAGAAGAAGCACCGGCUAACUCCGUGCCAGCAGCCGCGGUAAUACGGAGGGUGCGAGCGUUAAUCGGAAUUACUGGGCGUAAAGCGCAUGCAGGUGGUUUGUUAAGUCAGAUGUGAAAGCCCGGGGCUCAACCUCGGAAUUGCAUUUGAAACUGGCAAACUAGAGUACUGUAGAGGGGGUAGAAUUUCAGGUGUAGCGGUGAAAUGCGUAGAGAUCUGAAGGAAUACCGGUGGCGAAGGCGGCCCCCUGGACAGAUACUGACACUCAGAUGCGAAAGCGUGGGGAGCAAACAGGAUUAGAUACCCUGAUAG